rnacentral:lncRNA from 1 species
AGUUCAAUAUGCUUAAUGUUUGUCCAAGUGUUACCAAGGUUUUGUUUCGACAUCAAUGGCGGAAGCUCUUCCAGUUACGUAAAGAUCGAGAAAAUGUACUGCUUCCAUUGAUAAGAGCAAGAAGAAAAGCUAAAGAUGAAUCGAAAAACAAGGAAACUGAUGAUUAUGUGUUGGCUUACGUCGAUACUUUAUUGGACUUAGAGCUGCCAUUGGAGAAAAGGAAGUUCAAUGAAGAAGAAAUCGUGACACUAACCUCUGAGUUUCUUAACGCCGGCACCGAUACAACCACUACAGCUCUACAAUGGAUAAUGGCGAAUUUGGUGAAAUACCCUAAAAUUCAAAACAAAUUAUGGCUCGAAAUCAAAAGUGUAAUGGGAGAUAAUGAUGAUGAAGAAAUCAAAGAAGAUGAUUUGCAGAAGAUACCGUAUUUAAAAGCAGUGAUAUUGGAAGGGCUGAGACGUCACCCGCCAGGCCACUUCGUGUUACCUCAUCGUACGACGGAAGACACCGUGUUGGGUGGUUU